rnacentral:rRNA from 1 species
CCUACGGGAGGCAGCAGUGGGGAAUAUUGGACAAUGGGGGCAACCCUGAUCCAGCCAUGCCGCGUGUGUGAAGAAGGCCCUCGGGUUGUAAAGCACUUUCAGCGAGGAAGAACGCCUAGCGGUCAAUACCCGCUAGGAAAGACAUCACUCGCAGAAGAAGCACCGGCUAACUCCGUGCCAGCAGCCGCGGUAAUACGGAGGGUGCAAGCGUUAAUCGGAAUUACUGGGCGUAAAGCGCGCGUAGGUGGCUUGAUAAGCCGGUUGUGAAAGCCCCGGGCUCAACCUGGGAACGGCAUCCGGAACUGUCAAGCUAGAGUGCAGGAGAGGAAGGUAGAAUUCCCGGUGUAGCGGUGAAAUGCGUAGAGAUCGGGAGGAAUACCAGUGGCGAAGGCGGCCUUCUGGACUGACACUGACACUGAGGUGCGAAAGCGUGGGUAGCAAACAGGAUUAGAUACCCUGGUAGUCCACGCCGUAAACGAUGUCGACCAGCCGUUGGGUGCCUAGCGCACUUUGUGGCGAAGUUAACGCGAUAAGUCGACCGCCUGGGGAGUACGGCCGCAAGGUUAAAACUCAAAUGAAUUGACGGA